AGCUCAACAAUACUUGAGAUAACCAACUUACCUGAGGUGUGUUCCGAUUGAUUUCUCAGCGGGAGACAUGACUGGACUACAUGGAAAUUAUUGCCUGCUCCUUAACCAAUCGGAAUCUAGGAUUUGAAUGUAAGGUGCUUAAUCCCGACCUGUCACACCAACUCCCUGCAGAGCGUCCCUCACCUGCUAAUCACAAUGAAUAAGCCAUUCAUAUCAAACACCAUCUAGCUCCCUCCCCACUGUUUCUAAUAGAAAACUCAUUUGGCUGAAAACAAUCUUAUCCAAGGGAGAUAAUCCCGUUCAGCCUGCGCUGACGAUGACUAGUCAAAGCACACCGGGCUAUUUAAUAGCAGUGUAUGCCUGCAUACCAGCCGUUGUACUCACUCUGGUCAUAGUGGUUCUGUAUGUGUUCUGCUCCAAACGUUACCGGCUCAACUGGUAUGAACGUACACUUUUGGAAGAGAGGUGUUCGGACCAGGUGAGUCCACUACUGCGGAGGGACCAAGCAAUUUCAUUCAUGUCUGGGACAGCCAAAGGCAGAGGGAUACGGGCAGGGAGUUUAAAAACCGAAUGGCUCCUAAACGUCCGCAAGAUGGGGAGUAGUCCCAGUUCGCCAACUGCCGAUGCCAGUGAAAAGUUUUGGGUACCACCGACAGUGAUUGAACGGAAACGUGCUCAGAGUCUGGUUCCUUCUCUUUCCCGGAACGAUAGUGAUGAAGAAAUAAGUUCCGGUGUAGUGACACCUGCCUCAAUACCCGGUCUCCGAGAGUUGGCCUUCACCUUUCCGAGUGAGAAGCUGACUGGGCCAAUGAUGGGAUCUGAGGCUGUUCCAUCAACCCCCCCGCCUGCCUAUAACCAACGAAGAAGAGCGUCAAUGCACGACGCCAUCGAUUUCACUAAAAUUGACACAAGGCUUUAUGACAAAAAGCAACUGGUACGUCAGAGUUCGGUGUCAUCACUCCAAGAGGAGCAGCAAGGCUCCAUCAACCUUAGUAUGGAAUACAACAAGGAGACGUCAAUACUCACGGUACACAUGAUACAAGCCAGGGAUCUUGUACCGCGGGAUUUCAGCGGUACGGCGGACCCAUAUUGCAAAGUUUCCUUACUUCCCGAACAAAGGAGUAUAUUACAGAGCAAGAUUCACAGGAAGACAGUGAACCCCGAAUUUGAGGAGGAGUUUGUUUUUGAGGUGUCAUCACAUAAGUUAGCCAUGACAACCCUGGAGGUGCUAUUGUAUGAUUAUGACCAGUUCUCCCGGGAUGAGUGUAUCGGACAAGUGCAUGUGCCCCUGGAGUUGGUAGAUCUCAGUGAAAAGGUUAUAUUGUGGAAGGGGAUCGUACCUUGCGAGAAAAAGGAUCAACAUGCUAUAGGGGAUCUGAUGUUCUCGCUGUGUUAUUUGCCCAGUGCUGAAAGACUUACCAUUGUUGUAACCAAAGCCAGGAAUCUCCGGCACUCAGAGGAAGGGAAGAUAACUCUAGAUCCAUAUGUGAAAGCAACCUUAUCCUUUUCCGGGAAGAAGUUAAAGAAGAAGAAGACCUCAACAAAACACAACACAACAAAUCCUGUUUGGAAUGAAGCUCUGGUGUUUAACCUUGGCAAGGAGUUCCUCAACAAUAUAUGCUUGGAGCUAGCUGUAUACCAUGACAAUAAGAUCGGCAAUGAUGAACUGCUGGGCAAAAGUCAGCUCGGUCCUGCCUCGGAAGGAGAUGAGAUAGCUCACUGGAAGGACCUCAUCAGUGCCAAGAAUGCAGUUGCUAGGUGGCACAACCUCAGCUGACGCCAGGAAGACGACGAGAUGACGGAACUAAACAAAACCAUGUGUCUCAAAUGGUUGUGAAGUGGUGAUGCUGUACCCAACGUCAAGACUUCUUGGGUUUGGGUUUCCACUAUGUCCUCCAUCACCUGUGAAAACAUCUGCAGCUUUGCAGUGAUGAUGCUAAUUCAAACAACAACUUAAGCCAUGAUCUGUUUUUGGUGAGAGCAAAAUCAGCGAGUGCUCUGACCAGUGAAUGUUUUGAUAGAUCACACAAUGGGCAAUAGUUGUCGUGCAACAUGUGACCCAGUCUUGGCACAAUCCAGUGAACUCAUUGUUUCAUAUGGUUUUGUGCCUAGUGGAAUCUGGUUCGGUUGAUGGUCAGGGAGUUUUAUGUUCAGUAUUGGGCAACAGGAGGGAUUGCACUGAGUUUGGCUCAUUUUACUUUCAACUGUUGAACACAGUCUCAUGUCAUCGCUUGACUAAACAUAUAGGUCAUGACUUUGCUGUAUCGUGGCCAGAUGUAUUCAUUGGUUAUGGAGGAACAUAGAGUAUCCAAAGCCACGAAUUAUUGACGAUGUGUUGUACUAUCAGUGGUAUAAGGUCGCAGAUUGGGACAAAAUACAAGCUGUUAUCCUUCCACAAGCGGCUACAGUGCUAUGACUGUGUGAGAACAGUGUUAAUGUUGCAGAGUUAAGACGUUGACGGGCAUAGCACUUGGACUGCUUGUGGAACAGGGCCCUGUGUUUUGUGGGUAUUCUGCAUACCAAGCUCCACACCAACCUUUACUUCAGUGAUUAAAAUUGGGAUGUCAUGUCAUUUCUUGACGGCGAGUCAGUUGGUGUCAUCAAAACUAGUGUUGAUGUCAUCAGUUUUGUUGUAAUGUCAUCAGAUGUCAUGACAUCAUCAAUUCCUGCUGUGAUGUCAUCACCUUGUGCUCUCCUGUCAUCUUUGUCGUCAGAGUGGUUUCAACAUGAAGUUUUCGCUACGUGUCUGAUGAACGAUGUGUUUGUGUGACCUUAACCUUGGAGGAUAAAUGACCUUGACCUCAAUUUCAUGACAUGUGUCAUACAAGAAGAAAUAUGGCAUUUGACAUACUACAAUGAAUGAAUUCAGUGACAGAUGGAUUACAAAAUAUUGACAAUGAUCUCUGAAAAUGACCUUCACAUUUUCUCACGUAACCCAACUCAUGGUACAUACACUCAGUUGAGAUGUCCAUCAUUGAAAUGUGAAUUCUGAGUCGCCAAAGAGACGUUAGAAAUACAUACACUGCACUGACCUUGAUUACAUGACCUUGACCUACUGAUCUCUGAACUUGAUAUGAAAUUACACGGAAGCUGAACUAUUUGAAUGGUAACAUUAUCUACAGCUACUUUGAUUACAAUUAGGACACUUUGGGCUUUCCACCCACAUGAAGCUGACACAACAUAAUAUAACUUGAAUACUAAUCAAAGCAGUGCUAAAACCCAACUCACCCUCACACAAGUAGGAGUUUUACUGUGUUAAUAUUGCCUUUCAUCUGAUCACAUUUCUACCUGGUGCACCUUACGAUGCAUAACACAUGCGCCAUAUCAGUUGGAGCGUAUCUAAGGCAUCAGCCUUUUUAUAUUCAGGACCCUGAGGAGGGUCCUGGGUAUUUUAAAAAAAAAUGUGAUGGUUAUAGCAAAUGCAUUUUUUUGUCUCAGGUUUUACAAAUAACAAACAAUUAUGGACAAACAUGAUGGAUUUUCUGGCAAAAAACAUGCAAAUUUACAAAAAGAUAUUUUCCAAGAACAAAAUUGAAUAUCUUGAAGCAGUAACACCAAAAAUUAUACUGACACUACCUAAAAAUGCCAGCCCAACACCAUUACACACACACUACACACACACCGGAAUAUCUCUCCCUUACCAGAGUUCUCUGUUUUUUGGAUCUAAGAAAUUGUAUUGUUUGAUCAUUUCUUGAAGUAUAUACACCUUGCUUUCAGUGUAUGUACAAUAUCUGUGACACAUUUCCUUGUUAGUGAUCACGGAAAUAAUUAUUUUUUUUGUCAGUUCCUUAACCAUCAAAACAAAACCCUAAAUGACACACUUCCUAUACAUGUGAUAAAACUGCACUAAAUACUAUUAUUACCACCAGAUGUGUUUUCUGUGAUCUGUUAGAUGUGAUCUGUGACAAUGUUGAUGAUAUUACAUCCAGAUGGCAACAGACAGAACGCGUCCAUGUAGGUGUCACUGUGACUCCAUGGAGCCAUGUAGGUGUCACUGUGACUCCAUGGAACUUUCUGAUUUGUAUAGUAAAAACUGUAUAGUGAUGAUGUGAUUGUAUUGCAAUAUGUGUUGAUAGUGGGAAAAUGAUGACUGGUCCUUGAAAGGGAGGUAACUCUGCUCCUGUACAUUCAAAUAAUAAUUUGAAUUACGUAAAUUUGACUCAAGUGGCUAUUUUUUUAAAGAGAUUUUACCACAUAACAUACUUAGUAUUGCUAGUUUGUUUUGUUUAUGAUAACAUUGUAUUUCCUUUUGUACCCUGUUUGUAUUCUCACGGUGUUACAUACUGUGCUUUUCAAUAUUGUUCACUCUCCCAUUUAUAGAAAAUAAGAUUUCUUGGUUUUAUGCUUGGUAUAUGGCUCAAAAGAUCUUUAAAACUGACAUUUUCAAAAAAACAUAAUUGGAAUGACAAGGUGUUGACAAUAAAAAUGACAGUGAAAUGCCACUGUUAAAUUUUAGAUUAAUAAUCUUAUAAGGCUUCAAACCAGGCCAAGAAUUUUUAGGUUUUUUUUCACUGAUCCAAAUCAAACUUUAAGAGGAUUACACAAAUCUCAUUUUUUGGUUUGGUUUGUUGUUUGGUACGCCGCACUCAGCAAUAUUCCAGCUAUAAAUCCAUCUGUAAAUAAUCGAUCUGGACCAGACAAUCCAGUCAUUGAUAUCAUGAGCAUCGAUCCACGCAAACAAAUCUCGUACAAAGCAUUUUAUUAUGUUGUCUUUUUCGACCAUCCAGAUUUUGCAGGGUCAAAAUCUGUAAACAAAAAAACUAUGUCUGUCCCAAUAGAUUUAUCACGCAGUUCAGCAAGAUUGUAUGAAUAUGUAUUGUGAUUGACGAAAUGAAUAACAGUUAAUCUACACAUCAAUAUUUUGUUACAAUUAGGCUAAUUCGUGCUGCAGAUUCUUAGGGAGGAAGGCAAAGGUAAAAUUUACAAAUUCAAAACAUGAUCGAGGGAGUGAUAAAAUAUGUUGAAUACCCAAAGGAAAUGAAAAUUGAAAUACUCAGUGAGAAUGAUUAGAUUAGAGUGAAUGCUCAAUGGCAUAAUAAAUUAUCUGAAUACAUUUUCUGUGCCAUUGUGACCUAAUUUAUGGCCUCAUUUGUGAAGAGACCUUGACAUCAAGAUGCCGUUACAAUACUUGUUUUCACUUCUUGGAUGUUACUUCUUUGGCAAUGAAGACAUCUUUGACUUAUGGAUUUCGACUUCUUUAAUCUUUUAAUGUGAUGUUUUAGUACAGAUGUUGCAAUGGAAGAAUUAAGAAGUGGAAAUCCAUGGCCAACUCUGUCUUCAUUAAUACUGCUGCUUCUAAAAUGUCACUUAAAGAUGUAUUUUUUGCAUUGUACAACAUUAAGCAAUGUAAAAAUGAUCACACAAUCUCAGUUCAGUAUCAGUUUCAACUUUAUAUAUGUAUGAUGUGUCCAAGAAAGUCGAUUGUACGAUUCCAACUAUUGACAUAGAGUUCAAUUUAUUGUCAGAUAUCAAGCAGCAGUUGACAAACUUUGUUCCAAUAUCAUUAAAACUAAUAUAUUGUAGAUACCAGGCAAGUAUAUAUAUAUUCUACAUGGCUGUUUUCUGUAAAUAAUCUGCAAUAUACACAACUGAAUAAGGACUGUAUAUUUACGGUCUUUUAAGGGAGCAGUUGUGAAGAUGACUUCUGAAUUGGUCCAGAUGUUGGUCAAGGUGCACUAAUUGGAACUGGGCACUUAAUAUGGCAAAAACGGUAUGGACUACAAAUCAGUCUGUCACUCUUUUGCAAGAAUAUUUCAUUCUGAAAAAGAUGGCAGCUCCUCAGACAGUUCUAUGUUAAAUUACAAUGGAUCGUAUUAGAAGUUCUGUCACUGAAUCUGAAAAUGGAAAUGCAUGGAGAGUUCUGACAUUUUGAAGAACAUUCAGCUCAACCCGAAUCGAAGACAUAUAAACCAAUAAUUGUGUGGAAUAAAACCUUCUACAGUAAAAUGAAGAUUUCAAAUUUAUUAACACAUGAUGCAUGCCAGCAAUUGCAGAAUUUUGUUGUGAGCCACUUUCUUUGUUAGGUACCAUAAGAAAGGUCUGUUGGUACCAAAGGUCAAUGACCUGGUACAAGGUAGGUUCCUGUUGUCAGAAGAGUACCUCUGCUGCAUUACCGGAAGACUUAUACCACAACGACAUGGGAUGAUUAUUUCUGAUGGGGAGAAAGGAAUCUUAAUAUAAGGGACCUUCCAUUUAAUAUCUAAGGGAGUCUGAUAUUUUUGUUAGAGAUAGGAUUUUUUUUUUUUUGUAACUAGUUUCUGGAAAAGCAGGAGCUUUACACCAAAUGUUUUUUAUGACAUUCAGUAUUUCUAGUGAACAACAUUGUUUUUAGCUAAAACCUGAGGACGAAAUUAUUUUUUUCAAUAAAUUUCUGGAAUAAGUGUUGUUUUUUUUAUCCCAACAUCUGUUUAUAUCUACCCCCUAUCAAAUAUCAAAUGGUCAGUCCCAGGAUAAAUGUGAAGCUUAUGUCUGUGAUUGUCCACAUACAGUGAAACUCAGUGAGUCUCUGAUUGUCCACAUGCAGUGAAACCCAGUAAGUCUGUGAUUGUCCACAUGCAGUGAAACCCAGUAAGUCUGUGAUUGUCCACCUACGGUGAAACCCAGAUGGAUAAUUUACAAAUAUGAUCCACAAAUGUUGUUAUAUUCACAAGGCUUACCUGUGGUUAGCACUUACUCAUUCACAAAUGUACUGUUUUCAAAUUUUUCAAUGUUUAGUAUUGUUUAAGAUAAGCUGCAUUGAUGAACACAUUCAUAGCAAUAAGGUACUGUGAAGUGCUGGCAUAUCUUCAGCAGUUACAGCUGACAUGAGGGUUUUAAAACGAUUUCUAAACAACUCUUUUCAUUUGAUGUUUUAGAUGUUUUAUCAAUAUUGUUUACUUAGAAUUAAAAUAGAAGUAAAAAUAGAUAAAAGAAUAAAUAGUGAUAAUAUCAUAUUUCACUAUUCAUAUCAUAUUUUUCUACCUUUGUCCCUCUAUGUGAUGACACCCGCACUGGUAUAUAGGCAGUGCAAUAUACAUUAUUAUGUACUCAACUAGAUUUGUAUGUUUCAUACCAUUUGUAGGACGAUUGUUUAUACCACCUGUAAAUCCCUUUGUUGUAAUGUAUGAUGAAGUGUAAAUUCCUUUGUUCUAUUGUUUGACAAACUGUAAAUUUCUUUGUUCUGUUGUUUGGCAAGCUCUAAAUUCCUUUGUUCUAUUGUUUGACAAAGGUGUAAAUUCCUUGGUUCAAUUGUUUGAAAAAGGUGUAAACUCCUUUGUUCUAUUGUUUCACAAGCUGCAAAUUCCUUUGUUCUAUUGUUUCACAAGCUGUAAAUUCUUUUGUUCUAUUGUUUGACAAAGGUGUCAAUGCCUUUGUUCUAUUGUUUGACAAGCUGUAAAUUCGUUUGUUCUAUUGUUUGACAAAGGUGUAAAUGCCUUUGUUCUAUUGUUUGACAAGCUGUAAAUUCUUUUGUUCUAUUGUUUGACAAACUGUAAAUUUCUAUCUUCUCUGUAUGAUGAGCUGUUAAUUCCUUUGUUUUGUUGUAUAAGCUGUGACUUCUUUCUUUUAUUGUGUGACAAAUGAAGUCUUGUUGGUUGAUGACAUUUAUAAGUGACCGCUGGUUACAGAUAAAUUAUAUACGCGUUUUAUCAGAGUUUCUUAUAUAUUUUGUCAGUUAUUGUAAAUAGGGAAUAAAAGGUUGUGCAA
rnacentral:misc_RNA from 1 species